rnacentral:rRNA from 1 species
CGCGGCCUAUCAGCUUGUUGGCGAGGUAACGGCUCACCAAGGCAACGACGGGUAGCUGGUCUGAGAGGAUGGCCAGCCACAUUGGGACUGAGAUACGGCCCAGACUCCUACGGGAGGCAGCAGUGGGGAAUCUUGCGCAAUGGCCUAACGGCUGACGCAGCGACGCCGCGUGUAGGAUGAAGCUCUUCGGAGUGUAAACUACUGUUGCCCGGGACGAAUAGCUCGAUUAAUCGAGCCUGACAGUACCGGGUGAGGAAGCACCGGCUAACUCCGUGCCAGCAGCCGCGGUAAUACGGGGGGUGCGAGCGUUGUCCGGAAUCACUGGGCGUAAAGGGCGCGUAGGUGGUUUGAUAAGGGUGUGGUGAAAGUCCGGGGCUCAACCCCGGAUCUGCCGUGCCGACUGUCAAACUCGAGGACUGUAGAGGCAGACGGAAUUCCGGGUGUAGCGGUGGAAUGCGUAGAGAUCCGGAGGAAGACCGGUGGCGAAGGCGGUCUGCUGGGCAGUUUCUGACACUGAGGCGCGACAGCGUGGGGAGCAAACAGGAUUAGAUACCCUGGUAGUCCACGCCGUAAACGAUGGGUACUAGGUGCCUGGGGGAGCGACCCUCUGGGCGCCGGCGCUAACGCAGGAAGUACCCCGCC